rnacentral:rRNA from 1 species
GUACUGGCAUUGUUGGUUUCUCCCUUCUGCCGAACCAUGAUGUCAUUUAUUUGGUGUUGUGGGGAAUCAGGACUGUUACUUUGAAAAAAUUAGAGUCGUUUAAGGCAGGCUCACGCUUGAAUACAUUAGCAUGGAAUAAUGAAAUAGGACGUUUGAUUCUAUUUUGUUGGUUUCUAGGAUCGACGUAAUGAUUAAUAGGGAUAGUUGGGGGCAUUAGUAUUCAAUUGUCAGAGGUGAAAUUCUUGGAUUUAUUGAAGACUAACUACUGCGAAAGCAUUUGCCAAGGAUGUUUUCAUUAAUCAAGAACGAAAGUUAGGGGAUCGAAGACGAUCAGAUACCGUCGUAGUCUUAACCAUAAACUAUGCCGACUAGGGAUCGGAUGAUGUUAAUUUUUUAAUGACUCAUUCGGCGCCUUACG